AUGUACCACGGCUACCUCAACUCCCUCGCCUCCCGGGCCGGCAUCCUGGCCGUGUCCGUCGACUACCGCCUCGCGCCGGAGCACCCCAUCCCGGCCGCCUACGAGGACUCCUGGAUGGCGCUCAGCUGGGCCGCGUCGGGGGCCGACCCGUGGCUCUCGGAGCACGGCGACGCCGGCCGCAUCUUCCUGGCCGGCGACAGCGGCGGGGCCAACAUCGUCCACAACAUGGCGAUCAUGGCCGGCACCCGGAGCACUGAUCAGGACGGUUUGCCCGUGGGGGCGGUGGUGGAGCGGGCGAUCCUGCUGCACCCCAUGUUCGGCGGGAAGGAGCCGGUGGACGGCGAGGCGGCGGACACGGGAUAUCACAUGGAGAAGCUCUGGGCGCUGAUAUGCCCGGACGGCGACGGUCUAGGGGUGGACGACCCGAGGCUGAACCCGAUGGCUCCUGGGGCGCCGAGCUUGCGCGCGCUGGCUGGCCGGAGGCUGCUCGUCUGCUCCGCCGAGAGGGACUUCGCGCGGGCGAGGGCUGCCACGUACUACCGGGCCGUCAAGGGGAGCGGGUGGCCCGGCAUGGCCGAGUGGCUGGAGUCCCCCGGGGAGGAGCAUGGGUUCUUCCUCCUUCAGCCGGAGCGCGACGAGUCGUCGGCUCUCUUGGAUCGUGUGGCCGCCUUCCUCUCCGGCGAAUGA
rnacentral:rRNA from 1 species